UACGUAGGUGGCAAGCGUUAUCCGGAAUUAUUGGGCGUAAAGCGCGCGCAGGUGGUUUCUUAAGUCUGAUGUGAAAGCCCACGGCUCAACCGUGGAGGGUCAUUGGAAACUGGGAGACUUGAGUGCAGAAGAGGAAAGUGGAAUUCCAUGUGUAGCGGUGAAAUGCGUAGAUAUCUGGAGGAACACCGGUGGCGAAGGCGGCAUCCUGGACCGGUAUUGACGCUGAGGCGCGAAAGCUAGGGGAGCAAACGGG
rnacentral:rRNA from 1 species